AUUUAUGUCCAAACCACCCUGAAUGUUCCUCAUCUCAUCUGAUCUCAGAAGUUAAGCAGGAUGGGGCAUGGGGAGUACUGCCAGGUAUAGUCGUGCAUAACUGGGUAUAUAAAUA
rnacentral:rRNA from 1 species